GUUACUGUUCAAACAGCAAACUUGAUUGGAAUUCAGCUAUCUACUAUGUAAUAUCCUGUAGAACAAGUCAUUGCAGAUAUCAAAAGAGAGUCCACUUCCUCUCUUGCAUUAGUACUCUCCAAGUGCAAGUUUAUUUUAUUUUCUCCUAAUGUUACACAAAUAACAGUUUUUAAAUAACUGAUUGUUUACAUGUUAAGUUCUGUAUAUAUUACUUUUCAUUAUUAAGUUCCUUAAAUUAAAAAAAUUAAAUUACAGUGUUAACUUUUUUUAAUGUGAUUAUGUCACUGAAGGAAAGAGCCAUCUUCAGUCAACAGAUGUUAGUCAUAACAAUGGCCUUUUUGCAGAGAGCCAUCUUCAGUCAACAGAUGUUAGUCAUAACAAUGGCCUUGUUGCAGAAAGCCAUCUUCAGUCAACAGAUGUUAGUCAUAACAAUGGCCUUGUUGCAAAGAGCCACCUUCAGUAAACAGAUGUAAGUCAUAACAAUGGCCUUGUUGCAGAAAGCCAUCUUCAGUCAACAGAUGUUAGUCAUAACAAUGGCCUUUUUGCAGAGAGCCAUCUACAGUAAACAGAUGUUAGUCAUAACAAUGGCCUUGUUGCAAAGAGCCACCUUCAGUUAACAGAUGUAAGUCAUAACAAUGGUCUUUUUGCAGAGAGCCAUCUUCAGUCAACAGAUGUUAGUCAUAACAAUGGCCUUGUUGCAGAGCGAUCUUCAGUCAACAGAUGUUAGCCACAACACUGGUUAAGCCUAAGACUUAAGAUUCUCUCGAUGAUGAAAGAAGUGGCUAGUGUCAAGAAAAUUAUUCCAUUAAAAACUCAGAAACCUGAAUUUUUCUGCAGCCAUUGUGGAGACAAGGCAGGUACGGAUUCAGUAAUUAAAAUGCUAAUCUGGUUCAGUUUAUAGUAUAAAAUUUACAAAACCAUGUGAAAAUUAAAUGAAUGGAUAUUUGUUUUUUUAUAUCCAUAUAUGUAUGACUUAGUUGUGGAGCAUUCUUAUUCAGUUUCUUAUACUCUCCACAACUAAACAAUUUACGAAACAACGCAAAGUUUUCAACACCAUAAAUAUAAAAGGUUUUAAUUUUUUUUUUUAUUCCCUCUAUUCACUAUUGACACUACACAGUUUCUCUUCAAGAAGUCAUACUUGUAAUAUGGUAGUGGUUUCAAAUAUUGUAGUGAUAAAUACAUGUUUUUGUAAGCACAUUUUUAAUACUAAAAAUUUUAAAUUUAUUCUAAAGUAUCAUUUAAGUUUUUUUUGUGACUAACAGAUAUGUUUGUAACACAUAAAGAAAACAUUUUUUUUUA